AUUGAACGCUGGCGGCAGGCCUAACACAUGCAAGUCGAACGAGUGGCGGACGGGUGAGUAAUGUCUGGGAAACUGCCCGAUGGAGGGGGAUAACUACUGGAAACGGUAGCUAAUACCGCAUACCAUCGGAUGUGCCCAGAUGGGAUUAGCUAGUAGGUGGGGUAAUGGCUCACCUAGGCGACGAUCCCUAGCUGGUCUGAGAGGAUGAUCAGCCACACUGGAACUGCGAAACGGUCCAGACUCCUACGGGAGGCAGCAGGGGGGAAUAUUGCACAAUGGGCGAAAGCCUGAUGCAGCCAUGCCGCGUGUAUGAAGAAGGCCUUCGGGUUGUAAAGUACUUUCAGCGGGGAGGCGUUACCCGCAGAAGAAGCACCGGCUAACUCCGUGCCAGCAGCCGCGGUAAUAC
rnacentral:rRNA from 1 species